rnacentral:rRNA from 1 species
UACAGAGGGUGCAAGCGUUGUUCGGAAUUACUGGGCGUAAAGCGCACGUAGGCGGCUUUGUAAGUUAGAGGUGAAAGCCCGGGGCUCAACUCCGGAACUGCCUUUAAGACUGCAUCGCUUGAAUCCAGGAGAGGUGAGUGGAAUUCCGAGUGUAGAGGUGAAAUUCGUAGAUAUUCGGAAGAACACCAGUGGCGAAGGCGGCUCACUGGACUGGUAUUGACGCUGAGGUGCGAAAGCGUGGGGAGCAAACAGG